rnacentral:tRNA from 1 species
ACCUGGGUGGCUCAGUCGGUUGAGCGUCCGACUUCGGCUCAGGUCAUGAUAUCAUAGCUCGUGAGUUCGAGCCCCACGUCAGGUU